AUGAACGCUAGCGACAGGCUUAACACAUGCAAGUCGAGGGGCAGCACAGGUAGCAAUACCGGGUGGCGACCGGCGCACGGGUGAGUAACGCGUAUGCAACUUACCUAUCAGAGGGGGAUAACCCGGCGAAAGUCGGACUAAUACCGCAUGAAGCAGGGGCCCCGCAUGGGGAUAUUUGCUAAAGAUUCAUCGCUGAUAGAUAGGCAUGCGUUCCAUUAGGCAGUUGGCGGGGUAACGGCCCACCAAACCGACGAUGGAUAGGGGUUCUGAGAGGAAGGUCCCCCACAUUGGUACUGAGACACGGACCAAACUCCUACGGGAGGCAGCAGUGAGGAAUAUUGGUCAAUGGCCGAGAGGCUGAACCAGCCAAGUCGCGUGAGGGAUGAAGGUUCUAUGGAUCGUAAACCUCUUUUAUAAGGGAAUAAAGUGCGGGACGUGUCCCGUUUUGUAUGUACCUUAUGAAUAAGGAUCGGCUAACUCCGUGCCAGCAGCCGCGGUAAUACGGAGGAUCCGAGCGUUAUCCGGAUUUAUUGGGUUUAAAGGGUGCGUAGGCGGCCUUUUAAGUCAGCGGUGAAAGUCUGUGGCUCAACCAUAGAAUUGCCGUUGAAACUGGGGGGCUUGAGUAUGUUUGAGGCAGGCGGAAUGCGUGGUGUAGCGGUGAAAUGCAUAGAUAUCACGCAGAACCCCGAUUGCGAAGGCAGCCUGCCAAGCCAUGACUGACGCUGAUGCACGAAAGCGUGGGGAUCAAACAGGAUUAGAUACCCUGGUAGUCCACGCAGUAAACGAUGAUCACUAGCUGUUUGCGAUACACUGUAAGCGGCACAGCGGAAGCGUUAAGUGAUCCACCUGGGGAGUACGCCGGCAACGGUGAAACUCAAAGGAAUUGACGGGGGCCCGCACAAGCGGAGGAACAUGUGGUUUAAUUCGAUGAUACGCGAGGAACCUUACCCGGGUUUGAACGCAUUCGGACCGAGGUGGAAACACCUUUUCUAGCAAUAGCCGUUUGCGAGGUGCUGCAUGGUUGUCGUCAGCUCGUGCCGUGAGGUGUCGGCUUAAGUGCCAUAACGAGCGCAACCCUUGCCACUAGUUACUAACAGGUAAAGCUGAGGACUCUGGUGGGACUGCCAGCGUAAGCUGCGAGGAAGGCGGGGAUGACGUCAAAUCAGCACGGCCCUUACAUCCGGGGCGACACACGUGUUACAAUGGCGUGGACAAAGGGAGGCCACCUGGUGACAGGGAGCGAAUCCCCAAACCACGUCUCAGUUCGGAUCGGAGUCUGCAACCCGACUCCGUGAAGCUGGAUUCGCUAGUAAUCGCGCAUCAGCCAUGGCGCGGUGAAUACGUUCCCGGGCCUUGUACACACCGCCCGUCAAGCCAUGGGAGCCGGGGGUACCUGAAGUCCGUAACCGAAAGGAUCGGCCUAGGGUAAAACUGGUGACUGGGGCU
rnacentral:rRNA from 1 species